ensembl:snRNA U6 U6 spliceosomal RNA
AUGCUCUCUUUGGCAGCACAUAUACUAAAAUUGAAACGAUACAGAGAAGAUUAGCAUGGCCCCUGCACGAGGAUGACAGGCAAAUUCAUGAAUGGUUCCAUAGUAAA